UUUUUAGAAAAGAAAGUCAAAAUUCGGUUAUGGGAAAAAAAUAAAAUAAAAUCUCGAUAACCACAAAAAUCCUUUAAUCUUCUCCCGUAAUUCCCACUACACAUCCACUACUCAGAAUCCCCCUAUUACACAACUCUAUCCCAAAAUCUGAGCAAAAAAAUAAUACCCUUGCCUGCAUAGGGAUUCGAACACAAGACCCCCACCAUAAUAAGACACCAUUUAACCACCAAACCAGCAAGCCCAUUCUGAUGUAAUUUAC
rnacentral:lncRNA from 1 species